rnacentral:ncRNA from 1 species
CUGUGGUUGAAAGUCGAUGCCAGUCGCAGGCGAAGCGAUCCACGUAAGGAACCUGAUACGGUUCCGAUCAUAGUGCGGCCUAGAGGUAAGACCUGCCGCGAAAAGCGAGAGAAGCAGUAGUGGGGGACAAUUGUCUAUGAGCGAACCUUCCGGCAGGCGGGUGUGGGGGUAAAAACCAGGUCAGACGU